rnacentral:rRNA from 1 species
AUGCUUCGGAUUAGAGCAAAUGACUCUAAUUCGUCCACGCCUACGAAUCAGUCAACAUUUUGUACAAAUUUUAUGAACGGAAGCUCUUAUUUUCAUAUCUACGUAUCCUUUUUAAACUAUGAAUCUAAUCUUUUGGAAAAAAUAAGUCUCUUCGCUUGA